UGGGAGAUUGAUACACAGACGAGCUAAAAUCUGCUAUGUUUUGUCGCUAAGUCUCCCUAGAAUAAACAUGCCUUCUGAUGACCGGGACGAAAUUAGAGAAAUCGUAACGGACAGAUACGAGGCAGACAUUU